rnacentral:rRNA from 1 species
UACGAAGGGGGCUAGCGUUGCUCGGAAUCACUGGCGUAAAGCGCACGUAGGCGGAUUGCUAAGUCAGGGGUGAAAUCCUGGAGCUCAACUCCAGAACUGCCUUUGAUACUGGGGAUCUCGAGUCCGGGAGAGGUGAGUGAACUCCGAGUGUAGAGGUGAAAUUCGUAGAUAUUCGGAAGAACACCAGUGGCGAAGGCGGCUCACUGGCCCGGUACUGACGCUGAGGUGCGCAAAGCG